UGGUGAAGGGUGCCAUGGGGUCCCCGAAAGAAAAUCUCGCAGCAAACAACCGCAGAAAAAUAUCAACACUCCGACCGACGGUAAAGAAAUCAGAAUGGCGGGGGGCCGCCAGGUGGACCGUAGGGGCCACGGGCUCCACCGAAGCAAUCUUGUAGCAACCAACAGCAGCAGAGACAGUAUAAGCUACAAUAUUAACGCAAACAAUCAGCCCGUAGAUUUUACCAUCCACAGUGACAACGGAAACACAGAAAACGUAGAUCAAAUUUAACUUACCAAGAGGAGAUCAUGCUGCACAUACCGUCUGCACACCCACCAAGUCCAGGAAAGAAACCAGGACCUCCAGGGCGAGGACCCCACGGUCCGCCAGGGCCUCCUGGUCCUCCUGGUCCACCAGGUCCCAUUGUCAACUCUCUAUUCUUCCGGACACCGCCCGAGACAAAAGCCAACCUCAGAGAUUCUUCCGAGUCUCAAAAGUGCACACGCUUGUUUGAGAAUUGAGAUCUUGUAAACAAUCUAUAAAUAUUACAUGGUGUAAGGGGUUAGUUAGAAUACUUAGGCAGGAAGUUUGUGAUGAACUACUAUUCAUUUUUCAAAUGGAAACCUACCAUUCUAACCUAGUGUGGAAAUUGAACUACCCUCCCAUGGAACAACCAUUCAAAGCAGCAUCACCCAGCACGGACGCAUAAACAUGAACACAGUUUAAUUUUAGCAGUCACUUCAUUUCUUAUUAGACCUUGGGCCGAGCCCAGUCCCCAACUCACCAGUCACCAAUUUCAUCAUGCCUCUGAACCCCGGGUUAUGUGCUGCGUGUCUUUCUUUCCAAUCACCUUAUUAACUCACUUAACACUUGACCCUGAAUGGAAUGUCACCGAAGAUUGAAGAGAGAUUCUGACUCUUUGAGUAGCAAUACAGUUUUAAUACAUAUAGCUGUUUAAAAGCUGAAUUUGUCAAUCUAAACAAUUUACAAGAAUUCAAACUAGAUGACAUUUUCAUAAGCACAAAAGCUGGCUUAUAUAAACCCUCAUUUUCACCAUCAAAGUUCAAAACAUGGGGGAGACAUUUGGCAUCAAAAUUACAAGAAAAUAUUUUACAAUAAGAUUUCCAAACCAGACAUUAGAAAAUCUUAGUUCAACUGGAAAUCACAUAGCUGCUAAAAUUAGUCAAAUUUCAUUUCUCAUUUACGAUUUACAGUCAAAAUAUACCACUGCUGAUCCUGAAGUACAAUUAUCUCCAUAACCUCAGCAGUCUCAUAUAACAUGUAACCUUCACUCUCUAAGAUCAACAGCAGAAUAACAAUGAAGAAUAAAAGACUGAAGUUGUGAAGGGUUAAAAAGGACAAACAUAUGAAAGAGGUAGGAAUAGAUGUCUCAUAACAUAGAUUUUAAUAAAUACAAUCAAGAAAUAACUGUAGCAACACUCAAUAUGUUUGCAAUUAGUUCUCUGCCAAAUUGAAUAUAUAAUGUGAUACACAUUUUUCCAUUUUCUAAGUAAAAUAACUUUUUAUGUCUAAAGCCUCCUUCAAAUUGCCAAAUAAGGCAUUCUUAGUGCAUGAAAACUUAAGGUGCAGCAAACCACAAUACUUGAAUGUGUCCAUGCCUGCACUGAGACUGCAACCUUGGUGAACAAUAAUGACUCCAAAAAGAGACAGAUACAUGCAACAGAAAAAAUAACAGUUCCAAUCAAUUAAAAAAAAAAAAAAAAGACUGAAUGAUAGCAUUGGAUUCUAGGGAGAGAUUAAAUCAUAAAGUCAAUGUAUGUAAAACAAUCUGAUUAAAUUAAGGCGUAAAAAUUAAAGACAUUAAACAAUUCAGUUCAUCAAUAAAAUAACAGAUAAAGCCUCAGAUUAGCAUUUUGGCACAUUCUUCUUUGCGACGACAACCCAUGCAUAGAAAUUCUACCAUGGAGCACAAAAUGUUGUUGCAGCUCAAGUGCAAAAGUUGUCAUCAUAGGCAACAAAUGUUUCCAAUUCUGCGGUUCAAUACCACAUGCAUAUAUGUCAAACAAUUAAAAAAAAAAAUUAACAAAACAUGGAAUGUCAUAAUAUAUAUCCUUACUUUAGAAGCUCACAAUUUCAAAACAAAUUUUAGUUACAAAAUAAUUUUAAGCAUUCAAUUUAGGUUCAUAGGGUUUCCAAAAUUUACAAGCCAACUAAAGAUUCUAACAUAAUCAACUUAAUUAAAUACAAUAAGAGCAAUUUUUUUUUUAAUCAAUGAAAUUUAACAUGAAAAUAAAGCCUCAGAUUAGCAUAUUGGCACAUUCUUCAUGGCAACAACAACCCGUAUAGAAUUUACUCAACACGGAGCGCAAAAUAUAUAUUGUUGCAGCUCAUGCCUAAAUGUUUCUCAUCAUCAGCUCAGCUCAGCUCAGACAAAUUAAUUCUCGUCAUAAAUAAAUAAAAGAAAAAGCAAUAAUAAAUUUUCAAUCAACGAUACGGCUGGGCAGCAAUUAAACAAAGAAUUAAUGCACUCAGAGCUAACAAAUUAAAUAGAAAAUUAUAAUAAAAAAAAUUAUAUAUAGCAUCGUUGAACUUAGCUCAUCAGUAAAAAAUUUUGCUGGCGAAAGACUAGGAAGAUACCAAGCCAACAAGGACUUUUUGCUAAAAUAGGGUUUUGUUCUGCG
rnacentral:lncRNA from 1 species